GAUGAACGCUAGCGGCAGGCUUAAUACAUGCAAGUCGAGGGGCAGCAUGGUGUAGCAAUACACUGAUGGCGACCGGCAAACGGGUGCGGAACACGUACAGAACCUUCCUUCGAGCGGGGAAUAGCCCAGAGAAAUUUGGAUUAAUACCCCAUAGUAUUAUGGAGUGGCAUCACUUUGUAAUUAAAGAUUUAUCACUUGAAGAUGGCUGUGCGGCUGAUUAGGUAGUUGGCGGGUAACGGCCCACCAAGCCUGCGAUCAGUAACUGGUGUGAGAGCACGACCAGUCACACGGGCACUGAGACACGGGCCCGACUCCUACGGGAGGCAGCAGUAAGGAAUAUUGGUCAAUGGACGAAAGUCUGAACCAGCCAUGCCGCGUGGAGGAUGAAGGUCCUCUGGAUUGUAAACUUCUUUUAUAUUGGGACGAAAAAAAGGCCUUUCUAGGUCGUCUGACGGUACCAU
rnacentral:rRNA from 1 species